ensembl:lncRNA
GUCUUGGGGUUGUUAGCAUUGUGUGCUUAUUCGCGCUGCUUUCACAGAAGAUCUCUCUUCUCUUUUCUUUGUGUUUUUCUUUUUUGGAAGCGAGGACAGCAGAUGGCGUUCCAUGACCCGGUGUUUAGCAUGGCACCGAGAAGGCUUCGGGCUGGAAUUGCACCUACUGGACCUCCGUCAGGACCAUUUUCACCCCGACGAGACUCCCACCCCAGGCAGCAUUUACAGGGUGUUCUUCACUAAGCAUCCAGGAUGAAAGACUAUGGUUUGGUGAUCAAAAGCACAUGCCACCUGUUGACCAAGAUUAAUCAGAGAAAAUCAAAAAAAUCCAGCAUUUCUUGGUGCGACGAAACCCCACAAAAGCUUAAAAAACACAAUACAAAAUCAAACCCUGAGUGCACAGCAACAUCUAUGAAACAAUACUUUCUGUUUGUGUACAUGGCUUUAUACCUCGGCCUCUUUUAGAAAACACCAGCGAGGAGGUUUGUUAA